AGCAGUAGCCGCGGUAAUACGUAGGUGGCAAGCGUUGUCCGGAAUUAUUGGGCGUAAAGGGCUCGCAGGCGGUUUCUUAAGUCUGAUGUGAAAGCCCCCGGCUCAACCGGGGAGGGUCAUUGGAAACUGGGAAACUUGAGUGCAGAAGAGGAGAGUGGAAUUCCACGUGUAGCGGUGAAAUGCGUAGAGAUGUGGAGGAACACCAGUGGCGAAGGCGACUCUCUGGUCUGUCACUGACGCUGAGGCUCGAAAGCGUGGGUAGCGAACAGGAUUAGAUACCCCCGUAGUCCCUGUCUCUUAUAC
rnacentral:rRNA from 1 species